CCUCCCCUCCCCCCUCCCCCCCCCGCGGGACGAGACCGAGGCCCCCGAUGGGGGAGGGGCAGGGGUCACGGAGCCCCCGCCCCAUGCGGCCAGGGUGGGGGAGGAGCUGCGGGGCCUGGAGGAGGCGCUGCUGAGGCUGAAGGAGAUGGAGGAGAGCUUCUGGCAGCUCCAACAGAGCCUGGGCAAGCGCGGCCCCACUGCAACGGGAGACACGUGAGGG